rnacentral:rRNA from 1 species
CGGACGGGUGAGUAACGCGUGAGAAUCUGCCUUCAGGAUGGGGACAACAAUUGGAAACGAUUGCUAAUACCCGAUAUGACGAAAGUUGAAAGAUUUAUCGCCUGGAGAUGAGCUCGCGUCAGAUUAGCUAGAUGGUGUGGUAAAGGCGCACCAUGGCGACGAUCUGUAGCUGGUCUGAGAGGAUGAGCAGCCACACUGGGACUGAGACACGGCCCAGACUCCUACGGGAGGCAGCAGUGGGGAAUUUUCCGCAAUGGGCGAAAGCCUGACGGAGCAAUACCGCGUGAGGGAGGAAGGCUCUUGGGUCGUAAACCUCUUUUCUCAGGGAAGAACAAAAUGACGGUACCUGAGGAAUAAGCAUCGGCUAACUCUGUGCCAGCAGCCGCGGUAAUACAGAGGAUGCAAGCGUUAUCCGGAAUGAUUGGGCGUAAAGCGUCCGUAGGUGGUUUGUCAAGUCUGUGGUUAAAGCGUGGAGCUUAACUCCAUAAAGGCCAUGGAAACUGACAGACUAGAGUCAAGUAGGGGUAGAGGGAAUUCCCAGUGUAGCGGUGAAAUGCGUAGAGAUUGGGAAGAACACCGGUGGCGAAAGCGCUCUACUGGACUUGUACUGACACUGAGGGACGAAAGCUAGGGGAGCGAAUGGGAUUAGAUAC